GACUGGCCACCCCUCAGAGCCUGGUUCCUCUCUAGGUUUAUAAUCUCCACCCGGCACAGCCAGAAGAGGACUGGCCACCCCUCAUAGCCUGGUUCCUCUCUAGGUUUAUAAUCUCCACCCGGCACAGCCAGAAGAGGACUGGCCACCCCUCAUAGCCUGGUUCCUCUCUAGGUUUAUAAUCUCCACCCGGCACAGCCAGU